ensembl:rRNA 5S_rRNA 5S ribosomal RNA
GUCUAAGGCCUUACCGCCCUGAAGACGCCUGAUCUCAUCUGGUCUGUGAAGCUACGCAGGGUGGGGCCUGUUUCAGUAUGAGGGAGACCGCGUGGGACUACUGGACGCUGUAGGCU